GGAAGUACAGCCUUUCAACACAUUCAGCUGAGCUACACAACAAACAAAUUCAGCUUUAGAGAGAGCAUGUAGUUACAACAUCUACCAGCAGGGGCUAACAGGACAUGCCGACCACACAAACCUUGACCUCUUGGGCUGGCCUCGGCCUCCUGCUUUUCCUUUUUUCUCUCACCUUCUUUAUUAUGCCGUUUAUUUUUUUUUUCUCUUGCUGUGUGUCUGGUUAGAGGACAGUCAGGAGCCUCCUAACCAGUUUAGAUGGAACAUGAGGUCGUACUGUUGCUGCUGAACAGGUGCAUGGGUGCUAGAUCUGCCAUGGAAAGGAAAAAAUUGAAAACAGAAGAUAAAGAGGCAAAUUAGAGUUCUGCUCCUCACAAUUCGAUGGGUGCUGAAGAUCAGUUGAGUUUUCCUGUCAUCUGCUGGUGGCUGGCGCUCACUACAGAUACACAUCAAGAUAUCAGCCCUAUCUGUAUAAGAGAAUAUUUAGAUUUAUAAAUAAGAAAUUC